rnacentral:lncRNA from 1 species
AAGGUAAUAAAAAUGCAAUAAAAAGUUAGUAUGAUACAUAAAAAUAUAAACUGAGAUCGAAUAAAAGUCUAAAACUGUCCGAGUAUUAAUUAUGUGGAAAAGCCUGUCUGAAUAAAUAAGUUUUUAUGUUUUUCUUGAAAGCAUCCACAGAUUCAGUGUUUCGCAAUUCUUUUGGCAAGUCAUUCCAUAAAACGGCGGCCGCUCUAUCAAACCGUCUAUCUCCGUAUGUUUUUGUUCUUACUAUUGGUUUGACUAGAAGCAUGUUGUUUUCUGACCGAAGAGUUCUUGUUGGCUUGUAAAUGUUAACUAGAUCUUGAAGGUACACGGGUGCUUCUUGUUUCAGAGAUUUAAACACAUAAAGCAACACUUUGUAUUUGCAUCGAUAUGCUACCGGCAGCC